UAUUUUAGAGAUCGGGUCUAAAGAGUGGGAGAGCUUGGCCAUAGCACUUGCUCCUGGUUCUGGUGGUUCGCCAGAAAGGAUUUUGAUUUUGUGAUUUUUUAUGGCCGAAGCCAAAUCUUUUCUCUUCUUGUUUCUUGUUGCAUUUGCUGUAAUUCUCUCGUAAUUACAUGAAUAAAAUAUUUCAUUUAGGACUUGUCUUAUUCUAUCUGUUGGAUCCCGUGCAAUUCUUUCAUCUAAAAUAUUUCUCAUUUC
rnacentral:lncRNA from 1 species